UUUGGGAGGGGCCUGCGUACUAUCAGCUAGUUGGUAAGGUAAUGGCUUACCAAGGCUAUGACGGUUAACUGGUCUGAGAGGAUGAUCAGUCGCGAUGGGACUGAGACACGGCCCAUACUCCUACGGGAGGCAGCAGUAAGGAAUCUUCCACAAUGGACGAAAGUCUGAUGGAGCAACACCGCGUGAUCGAUGAAGCCUUUAGGGGUGUAAAGAUCUUUUCUGAGAGAAGAACUCUGACGGUAUCUUAGGAAUAAGCACCGGCUAACUCCGUGCCAGCAGCCGCGGUAAUACGGAGGGUGCAAGCGUUACCCGGAAUCAUUGGGCGUAAAGCGUCCGCAGGCGGUUUGUUAAGUAAGAUGUUAAAUUUUCCAGCUCAACUGGAAAUCUAUGUCUUAAACUGGCAAACUAGAGUAUUACAGAGGUGUGCAGAAUUCUGUGUGUAGGGGUAAAAUCCGUAGAUACACAGAGGAAUACCAAAAGCGAAGGCAGCACACUGGGUAAUUACUGACGCUCAGGGACGAAAGCGUGGGGAGCGAACGGGAUUAGAUACCCCGGUAGUCCACGCCGUAAACGAUGGAUACUAGGUGUUGGGAGACUCGACCCUUCCGGUGCCGAUGCUAACGCAUUAAGUAUCCCGCCUGGGAAGUACGGUCGCAAGAUUAAAACUCAAAGGAAUAGACGGGGACCCACACAAGCGGUGGAGCAUGUGGUUUAAUUCGAUGAUAAGCGAGGAACCUUACCCAGACUUGACAUCCCGAGAAUUUUCCAGAAAUGGAAAAGUGCCGCAAGGAACUCGGUGACAGGUGCUGCAUGGUUGUCGUCAGCUCGUGCCUUGAGGUGUUCGGUUAAGUCCGUGAACGAGCGCAACCCUUGUCUUGUGUUGUAUGUUUCACAAGAGACUGCCGACUUUAAGUCGGAGGAAGGUAAGGAUGACGUCAAAUCAGCAUGGCCCUUAUGUCUGGGGCUACACACGUGCUACAAUGGCCAGUACAGAGGGCAGCAAACCCGCAAGGGGGAGCCAAUCCUUAAAACUGGUCCAAGUUCGAAUUGAGGGCUGCAAUUCGCCCUCA
rnacentral:rRNA from 1 species